UCUUGGCACCGUCAGGCCUCAUUGUUGCCAGUCCUGUGGAGGUGGUGCGGUUAGUGGGUGUGGAAGCUAAAUUAGCCUCUACCCCAGGCUGUAGGCCCUCCCGAGGGGGGUCCGCACUGCCCUGUGAGUAAGCUUGUACCGUGCUUGCCCUUGACAUGCCUUCUCCAUGGACGGUGGGACGGAGGAGCGCAGUGCCAGUGAGCUGAAUGGCACAAACCCGUGCCAGAUGGUACCAGCUGCGGCGAAACGCUCUCUGCGGUGGACACCUGUCCACUCCGUGCACCUCCAGGAGCCAUCAGUGCCCGCCCUAAAGAGCCGUCAGCGGGAAAUGAGGCGCUAACCCGGGAGUGAAAAGCCUGCGGGCCCUCGCCGGGUGCAUGCCGAGUCCUCGUCGGGCCACUCUAAUGAGGACGGGAGCCCGAGCCAAGACACGUUUAGCAGCCAUGCUGUUUACUUUAUCAUCAUUACUCAACUUGACCCUGGCCUCCACGUGUCUGCGAUGAUGCCGCGGCCAGGACGUGUCGUUGGGUUGGACAGACAGUCGGCACAUCUGACUCCGGGCCGAGAGACAGAGGGCAUGCUGGGACUGGGCACAGAGUGUUUGUGGAGGCCAUUACUCAAUGAAUGUUGUGUGAGGUUUGUGAACAAUAUCGAAGUUAAACCACAGAUUCUGUCAUUUUUACUAAAUCUGACUUUUUUUUUUUUUUUUUUUAAGAAUAUCCUGGUAAGAAUAUCCAAUAUGAAUAAAGGAGAACUGAGGCUGUCAAGCUCUACAGUUACAAAAAGGACGUCACACUUAUAGGAGGAGGACGGGGCAGGAAGUGGCUGAAGGUGUGGUGAGAAUGUGACACUCUGAAGGUUUCUCUUUUAAGUCAACACACACUCACACACUUGUACAUGUGCACCGUGUGCCAUUUCUCAGUCAUGGUUUUAACACACUUGCAUGUUUAAAUCAGCAUGCUGUAGGCGUUUAUCUGUUUAAUAUUUAUUUCUGUACUUUUUAUUUCAUCCAUGCCUUUUUUUUUUUGACGCAAUGAUACUUUGACUUCAGGAAUUGGAACUUAAAAGCAAAAGCAGUGUGAUGCAAAAUGAAGCAAACGUCUGGGGAAUUAUAGCUGGAUGUCGUAGCAAGUUUAAAGGCUUCACAAACAGUUAUUAAAAAAUAAAACAUAAUAAGCAUACUUUUCA
ensembl:lncRNA